UACGGAGGGGGCAAGCGUUAUUCGGAAUUAUUGGGCGUAAAGGGCGCGUAGGCGGCUAGAUGUGUCAAAGGUGAAAUCCCUCGGCUCAACUGAGGAACUGCGUUUGAAACUGUCUGGCUUGAGGCCGGGAGAGGGUAGCGGAAUUCCGGGUGUAGCGGUGAAAUGCGUAGAUAUCCGGAGGAACACCGGUGGCGAAGGCGGGUAGCUGGGCCGACACUGACGCUGAGGCGCGAAAGCCAGGGGAGCGAACAGG
rnacentral:rRNA from 1 species